rnacentral:miRNA from 2 species
GGCAGUCUCCUUGGCUAGC